GCAUGAAUCGGUGUCCCCUGCCAGAGCAAAUUCUAGCCCACAUCACUGGCUGACCUAUGUGUCUGUAAGCUGCUGGCACUGAAGUGGUUUGAGCAUGU
rnacentral:snoRNA from 1 species